UUGCCAUCAUUGAGUUGGGCGACUCUAAAGAGACUGCCGGUGUCAAACCGGAGGAAGGUGGGGAUGACGUCAAGUCCUCAUGGCCUUUAUGACCAGGGCUACACACGUACUACAAUGGCCGGUACAAAGGGCAGCGACACAGCGAUGUGAAGCCAAUCCCGAAAAGCCGGUCUCAGUCCGGAUUGGAGUCUGCAACUCGACUCCAUGAAGUUGGAAUCGCUAGUAAUCGCGGAUCAGCACGCCGCGGUGAAUACGUUCCCGGGCCUU
rnacentral:rRNA from 1 species